rnacentral:rRNA from 1 species
CCAAGGAGUCUAACAUGUGCGCGAGUCAUUGGGUCGUACGAAACCUAAAGGCGCAAUGAAAGUGAAGGCAGCCUCGGGUUUGCCUAGGUAGGAUCCUUCCCUUACUCGGGGGAGGCGCACUACCGGCCCGUCUCGUCCGCACCGCGGUGAGGCGGAGCAAGAGCGUACACGUUGGGACCCGAAAGAUGGUGAACUAUGCCUGAGUAGGACGAAGCCAGAGGAAACUCUGGUGGAAGUCCGUAGCGAUUCUGACGUGCAAAUCGAUCGUCGAACUUGGGUAUAGGGGCGAAAGACUAAUCGAACCAUCUA